rnacentral:rRNA from 1 species
CCUACGGGGUGCAGCAGUGAGGAAUAUUGGUCAAUGGGCGGGAGCCUGAACCAGCCAAGCCGCGUGAAGGAAGAAGGUGCCAGGCGUCGUAAACCUCUUUUGUCGGGGAACAAAGGCCGCCACGCGUGGCCUUGUGAGUGUACCCGAAGAAAAAGCGUCGGCUAACUCCGUGCCAGCAGCCGCGGUAAUACGGAGGAUGCGAGCGUUAUCCGGAUUUAUUGGGUUUAAAGGGUGCGUAGGCGGUCCGGAAAGUCAGCGGUAAAAGCCCGGGGCUCAACCCCGGCGAGCCGUUGAAACUGGCGGACUAGAGACGGCGAGAAGUACGCGGAAUGCGUGGUGUAGCGGUGAAAUGCUUAGAUAUCACGAAGAACUCCGAUUGCGAAGGCAGUUCACUGGACUGAAACUGACGCUGAGGCUCGAAAGUGUGGGUAUCGAACAGGAUUAGAUACCCUUGUAGUC